CCAAGCUCUCCCUCAGCGCUGCCAGCCGUCGGCCCCGGCGGAGCCGGCGUCCACAGACAGCCGUGAUUAUGCUUCCUGACCACCGGGGCGCCCUCCUGGGAUAAGUGCAGUGUUUUAAAUGAUGCCCUUGAGCUGCCUAUAAACUGCCUACAAAUGACAGCUGGAGUGAAAAAUGACCUGUUUUGGGAUGAGAAUCUGUUGCAAGAGGAACAUACAGUUUGCAAAAUGACGCACAAGGAGCUGCACUACUGCUGCCCUAUUUCCUUAAAGAUGUGUUGUCAAUAGAUUUUUUUGGUACCUGUUGAAAACCUGUGCUCUAUAAAUGGAACAACAAAGCCUGGAUGACAGCACAUCUGUUUACAACAUAGUUUACUGAAUAUUCGAAGCCCACUGUUGAGAUCUAUGGCUCAGAAGAAAAGAUUCCUUUCAAAAUAUUGACAAUGUUCAUUGACAAUGCACCUGGUCACCAAGAGCUCUAAUGGAGAUAUACAAUGAGAUUAAUGCUGUUUUCAUGCCUGCUAACACAACAUCCACUCUGCAGCCCAUGGAUCAAGGAGUAAUUUCAACUUUCAAAUCUUAUUAUUUAAGGAAUACAUUUCAUAAGGCUAUAGCUGCCAUCGAUAUUAAUUCCUCUGAUGCAUCUGGGCAAAGUCAAUUGAAAACCUUCUGGAAAGUAGUCACCAUUCUAGAUGCCACUAAGAACAUUCAUGAUUCAUGGGAAGAGGUCAAAAUAUCAACAUUAACGGGAAUUUGGAAGAAGUUGAUUCCAACCCUCAUGGAUGACUGAGGGGAUCAAGACUUCAGUGGACAAGGUAACUGCAGAUGUGGUGGAAAUAGGAAGAGAACUAGAAUUAGAAGUGGAGCCUGAAGAUGUGAUGAAUUGCUGCAAUCUCAUAAUAAAACUUUCAUGGGUGAGGAGUUGCUCCUUAUGGAUGAGCAAAGAAAAUGGUUUCUUGAGAUGGAAUCUACUCCUGGUGAAGAUGCUAUGAAGAUUGUUGAAAUGACAAGAAAGGAUUUAGAACAUUACAUAAACUUAGUUGAUAAAGCAGUGGCAGAGUUUGAGAGGAUUGACUACAAUUUUGAAAGAAGUUCUACUGCAGGUAAAAUGCUAUCAAACAGCAUUGCCUGCUACGGAGAAGUCACUCGUGAAAGAAAGAAUCAAUUGAUGUGGCACACUUCAUUGUUCAUUACUGCCUUAUUUUAAGCAAUGGCUACAGCCGCCCCGACCUUUCAGCAGCAACCAUCCUGAUCAGUCAGCAGCCAAGAACAUUGAGGCAGGACCCUUCACCAGCAAAAAGAUUACAUACAACUCACUGAAGCCUCAGAUGAUGGUUAGCAUUUUUCAGCAAUAAAGUUUUGUUUUUUUUUCUCUGCUGCACCCUGCAGAAUAUGGGAAUCUUAUGUCCCCCGACCAGGGAUCGAACGCGCACCCCCUGCAUUGGCAGCCCGGAAUCGUAACCACUGGACUGCCAGGGAAGUCCCGGCAAU